UAUAUUCACAUGUAACAAUGGAUUCGUACGCGGUGGCCGCGUUAACAAAAUGGACAAAAAGUGCCGCAGUUGGUCCACUCGCGAAGAAGAAGUGCUAAUUGCUGCAUUGAAAGUGCUAGUCGCACAAGGAUGGAAAUCCGACAACGGAUUUCAAGCCGGCUAUUUGAACAAGUUAGAGGAAGCUAUGAAGAAAGACUUUCCUACCACCAACUUGAAAGGGAUGCCUCACAUUAACUCCAAGGUGAUGACGUGGAAGAAGAGUUACUACUCACUGUCACACAUCCUCAAGUUUAGUGGAGUUGGCUUCAAUGCGAAGGGCACGCACAUGGUUGAUUAAGACGAUGAACAAUGGGAAAAUAUUGUGAAGUGAGUAUGAUUCUAAAGCCAUGGCAGAGAUAAGGGGAGCUUUUGAAGAGCAUGGAGGCGAGACAGCCUCAACGAGAUGCGCUAAUGAUCUUGCUCGUGGGGAAGAACAAGAAUGAUUACAGUGUAGUUGUUGACUCUGAAGAGAAGGAUGAUGACAAAAAUUCCAAUAGCAA